CCUACGGGUGGCUGCAGUGGGGAAUUUUGGACAAUGGGCGCAAGCCUGAUCCAGCAAUGCCGCGUGCAGGAAGAAGGCCUUCGGGUUGUAAACUGCUUUUGUCAGGGAAGAAAUCUUCUGGGCUAAUACCCCGGGAGGAUGACGGUACCUGAAGAAUAAGCACCGGCUAACUACGUGCCAGCAGCCGCGGUAAUACGUAGGGUGCGAGCGUUAAUCGGAAUUACUGGGCGUAAAGCGUGCGCAGGCGGCUUUGCAAGACAGAUGUGAAAUCCCCG
rnacentral:rRNA from 1 species